rnacentral:rRNA from 1 species
UACGAAGGGGGCUAGCGUUGUUCGGAAUUACUGGGCGUAAAGCGCACGUAGGCGGAUCGAUCAGUCAGGGGUGAAAUCCCAGAGCUCAACUCUGGAACUGCCUUUGAUACUGUCGGUCUAGAGUAUGGAAGAGGUGAGUGGAAUUCCGAGUGUAGAGGUGAAAUUCGUAGAUAUUCGGAAAGAACACCAGUGGCGAAGGCGGCUCACUGGACCGGCAUUGACGCUGAGGUGGCGAAAAGCGUGGGGAGCAAACAGG